rnacentral:rRNA from 1 species
GCAUACGGUGGAUGCCUUGGCAGUCAGAGGCGAUGAAAGACGUGGAAGCCUGCGAUAAGGCUCGGGGAGCUGGCAAACAAGCUGUGAUCCGGGCAUCUCUGAAUGGGGAAACCCACCGGUCUUCGGACCGGUACCGUACGGUGAAUACAUAGCCGUACGGGGCGAACUCGGGGAACUGAAACAUCUAAGUACCCUUAGGAAAAGAAAUCAACCGAGAUUCCCUCAGUAGCGGCGAGCGAACGGGGACCAGCCCUUAAGCUGGACAACUGGUAGGAGAAGGCCCUGGAAAGAGCCGCCAUAGUGGGUGAUAGCCCCGUAUCCGAAACCUGAGUCCAGUGAAAUCGAGUAGGACGGGACACGAGACAUCCUGUCUGAACAUGGGGGGACCAUCCUCCAAGGCUAAAUACUCCUAACUGACCGAUAGUGAACCAGUACCGUGAGGGAAAGGCGAAAAGAACCCCUGUGAGGGGAGUGAAAUAGAUCCUGAAACCGUAUGCGUACAAGCAGUCGGAGCGGACUUGUUCCGUGACGGCGUACCUUUUGUAUAAUGGGUCAGCGACUUAUGUUCAGUGGCGAGGUUAACCGUUUAGGGGAGCCGUAGGGAAACCGAGUCUGAAUAGGGCGAUUUAGUCGCUGGGCAUAGACCCGAAACCGGGCGAUCUAUCCAUGAGCAGGUUGAAGGUUGAGUAACAUCAACUGGAGGACCGAACCCACUAACUUUGAAAAGUUAGGGGAUGACCUGUGGCUGGGGGUGAAAGGCCAAUCAAACCGGGAGAUAGCUGGUUCUCCCCGAAAUCUAUUUAGGUAGAGCCUCGGACGAAUUCCAUUGGGGGUAGAGCACUGUUAAGGCUAGGGGGUCAUCCCGACUUACCAACCCUUUGCAAACUCCGAAUACCAAUGAGAACUAUCCGGGAGACACACGGCGGGUGCUAACGUCCGUCGUGGAGAGGGAAACAACCCAGACCGCCAGCUAAGGUCCCAAAAUAUUGCUAAGUGGGAAACGAUGUGGGAAGGCAUAGACAGCUAGGAGGUUGGCUUAGAAGCAGCCACCCUUUAAAGAAAGCGUAAUAGCUCACUAGUCGAGUCGGCCUGCGCGGAAGAUGUAACGGGGCUAAGCAAUAUACCGAAGCUGCGGCAGCAAGUUUACUUGCUGGGUAGGGGAGCGUUGUGUAAGUGGAUGAAGGUGAGUUGUAAAGCUUGCUGGACAUAUCACAAGUGCGAAUGCUGACAUGAGUAACGAUAAUGGGAGUGAAAAACUCCCACGCCGGAAGACCAAGGUUUCCUGUCCCAUGCUAAUCAGGGCAGGGUAAGUCGGCCCCUAAGGCGAGGCAGAAAUGCGUAGUCGAUGGGAAACGGGUUAAUAUUCCCGUACUUAUAUAAUCAGUGAUGGAGGGACGGAGAAGGCUAGGCAAGCUUGGCGUUGGUUGUCCAAGUGAAAGUGAGUAGGCUGAAGACUUAGGUAAAUCCGGGUUUUCAAGGCCGAGACACGAGACGAGCUCCCAAGGGAGUGAAGUUGUUGAUGCCCUGCUUCCAGGAAAAGCUUCUAAACUUAUGAUUAUAUGAACCGUACCCCAAACCGACACAGGUGGUCAGGUAGAGAAUACUAAGGCGCUUGAGAGAACUCGGGUGAAGGAACUCGGCAAAAUUGUACCGUAACUUCGGGAGAAGGUACGCCUCUGUUUGUGAACACUUCGCGUGGUAAGCAAAUGGAGGCCGCAGUGACCAGGUGGCUGGGACUGUUUAUUAAAAACACAGCACUCUGCAAACUCGUAAGAGGACGUAUAGGGUGUGACACCUGCCCGGUGCCGGAAGGUUAAUUGAUGGGGUUAGUUUUCGGACGAAGCUCUUGAUCGAAGCCCCGGUAAACGGCGGCCGUAACAAUAACGGUCCUAAGGUAGCGAAAUUCCUUGUCGGGUAAGUUCCGACCCGCACGAAAGGCGUAAUGAUUUGGAUACUGUCUCGGAGAGGGGCUCGGUGAAAUAGACUUGUCUGUGAAGAUGCGGACUACCUGCACCUGGACAGAAAGACCCUAUGAAGCUUUACUGUAACUUGAAAUUGAAACUGGACUUUGUUUGCGCAGUAUAGGUGGGAGGCUUUGAUGAUUUUCUUGCGGGAAAGUCGGAGCCAUCAGUGAGAUACCACUCCUAUAAUGUUAGGUUUCUAACUUUGAAUCAUUAUCUGGUCAGAGGACAGUUUCAGGCGGGCAGUUUGACUGGGGCGGUCGCCUCCCAAAUGGUAACGGAGGCGUACAAAGGUUUCCUCUGAACGGGUAGAAAUCGUAUCUAGAGUAUAAAGGCAAAAGGAAGCUUGACUGUGAGACCUACAAGUCGAGCAGAGACGAAAGUCGGUCUUAGUGAUCUGACGGUGCUGAGUGGAAAGGCCGUCACUCAACGGAUAAAAGUUACUCUAGGGAUAACAGGCUGAUCUCCCCCAAGAGCUCACAUCGACGGGGGGGUUUGGCACCUCGAUGUCGGCUCGUCACAUCCUGGGGCUGGAGAAGGUCCCAAGGGUUGGGCUGUUCGCCCAUUAAAGUGGCACGCGAGCUGGGUUUAGAACGUCGUGAGACAGUU